ACAACAGGUGCUUGAGGGAAAACACGUUUGUUACAGAGAUCAUAAACUCUGGAAGUCACUGAACUUGUUUGUGAGGGCCAUCUUGCAAAAGUAGCUUGCAAGGAACUUCCACAGAGGUGCCUUGUGUCGUAAGGUCCUCAGUCUUCUACAUAGUGAGCUAACAGGAGCAAGAAAUGUUAGAAAAACAGCACCUGUAUAAACUGUGAGUGUCUUGCACUGCUAACCACUGAGAGCCUCCACUCAGGACAAGGGAAAGAAAAAUAAAGGGGAGUGAGUAAAUGCAGCUCCAGGAAGGUUUCCUGACAUACCUUUCAAAGCAAGCACAGGAUUGGCACUCUUUGGCUGUUUGAAUGAGGUCAUGCUGUGGGUCCUGAGAUAACCCUUGAUAUGUGCUUUGUUACUACCCUGGUGAUAGUCUUCUCAUGCCACUACUAGGAGGCCUGUUGGAUUAUCUGAAUUGGUUGUGGUAGGAAAAGAAGAAACAGCACAGCUUUGGAGGACCUCACUGGACUGCUUUGACAUCUUGCAUUUCGUACAAGUGAGGAUGUUAGCUGAUUCACAUCUGUCUGGGGGCUGGAACAUGUUGGAGGACUGUCAUCAGAGAUCCAGAAUCUCCUUACUACUCCCAAUUGACAGCUCAUCUACUAUCAUAUAAGAAAAAAAACUGUGGAAACCUACUUUGAUGUUUUCUCCAUCAACUCUGGCUAAACACUAGUUUUAAACAAAAAGGAAUGCAAACCAGCUUGACAUUUAGCAAGAUUGCUCUGAUACAACAAAUAUGCUGCAAGCCUGAAGACAGGUGCAUUACCACUAAGAAGGAUUUUGUUAUGAAUGUUCUCAUUACAGUGUGUCAUGGAUAACUAACAGUGUACAGUUUGUGUCUUGAGGUUUAGAUUUGCUGUUGUUACACUGUUGUCACAUAUUUUUGUUUUAAUCUUUUAGAUUAAAUGGUAAAUAUAGAAGUCUUUAUUCAGUUAACAAAAAGGUAGUCAUUAAGAGAUAGUGAUUGAAGUAAAAAGGUGAGAAAUUAAAGUUAUGUAUGUGAAAAUACAGAAUUCAAGUGAACAGUACAGUAAGUGAAGGAAUAAAAUCAGGAAAAAGUAAAAGCAAUCCUGAAACCUGUUCCAUCAAGAAAAUGUUCAGAAACUGCUUAAGCUUUUUUUACUGAUGUUUCAUGUUAUGGGUAAUAUAAUACCCUAAGUUUGACAUUUACAAAUAUAAAAGAUCGUGUGAAUAUUCACAUGCAUAAUGUUGGGUAUUUACUUUCUCAUUGGUUUCAGAAGGACACAGUUUAAAGUUUGCUGCUGACUAUAAAUCUAAUCUACCACUGCAGUUUAUGUCUGAAGUAAAAUAAAGGACAGUUUUAAUGUGUUUAUCUAUUUUCUUUCUAGAAAAUGACCCCAUUGAGGGAUGAAUUUUAGCCCUGAAUCUUUCUCAUAACCUC
ensembl:lncRNA